rnacentral:sRNA from 1 species
AAUUGGUUUCUUCUCACACAGUUCCAUAGUGCUUAUGGCAUCAAAGGGAAGAUACGUCUCCAGAGGCCCAUGGACCAGAGUGCUGGAAAAGCUUGGGGCAGACAGGGGUCUCAAGUUGAAAGAGCAAAUGGCAUUCGUUGGCUUCAAAGGCAGCUUCCAGCCCAUCUGGGUGACACUGGACACUGAGGAUCACAAAGCCAAAAUCUUCCAAGUUGUGCCUAUCCCUGUGGUGAAGAAGAAGAAGUUGUGAGGACAGCUGCCGCCUGGUGCCACCUCGUGGUAGACUAUGACGGUGACUCUUGGCAGCAGACCGGUGGGGGAUGGCUGGGUCCCCCAGCCCCUGCCAGCAGCUGCCUGGGAAGGCCGUGUUUCAGCCCUGAUGGGCCAAGGGAAGGAUAUCAGAAAUCCUGGUGCUGCCACCUGCCCCUACUCAAGUGUCUACCUGGAGCCCCUGGGGCGGUGCUGGCCAAUGCUGGAAACAUUCACUU